rnacentral:lncRNA from 1 species
AUGAGGCGCUCGCAGGCACCUCGAGAAGCAGGCCCCGACCGCUCGCCGACGAAGCCUCGUCCGGGCCUCCUGGGAGCGGGGUGGCAGGUACCGUGGCGCCUCCUCGCGUUGGUCUUGCUGGUUCUCGGCCCCCGAAGCGGAGCGACGGAGACACAGCUGUGGAAGCAUCUGGAUCCGCUGCCCAGGUCCCCGAGCUUCCCGGAACCCGAGGCCGCAGGACACUGAAGGCUGCCAUUCCCGAGUAGGUCACGCUGGACGCCACCCUAAGCUGGGCCCAGAGGCUCCCGUCCAGGAGGGCUGCAGUCGGCGCAGACACCGCGCGUGUGGAGACGGGAGACCCAUCCUCCUCGGCCGUUCCGAGAGUAGGCGCGGCCGGUCAGAUUCGAUGCAGAGCCGAAUGCGGGAGAAAGGGCAAAACGUACCUCAAACCAGACAAAGCCUUGUGAGCUUCAGGUAAGUGAGUGCAGUAAAGACCGGUAAGGCCCACGCAGAAGAAACACUGAGGAAAGAAGACACUUCCAAAGUAACAAAUGGGAGGAAGCAGCCAACGCCCGAGGACAACAUGGCAAGAAGGAGCCUUUGGAUUCCGGACUGGGAUGGAAAGAGAGUUGAUUGAAUCCCGGAAUUUGGAAACCCCAGAUACGGAGGGCGGACGGUACAACCGGAGCUGUCAGGUGGAUUUCCAAGGCUUUGCAUUGGCUGUACCUGAAACUUAUGGUGGCCUAGACUCCCCAGUAUCCACUCUUCCUUAUCUUGGUAAACAAGCCCAGUUCUGAGUCACAUCCCUGCUCUGCCUACUUACAGGGGCAUGUGGUCCCAAUCUAAGCAACGUAGCAUAAUUCCAACCUAAAUCAGCAGAAUCCCAUUCCCUGCCACAGUUAUUGGCUGGCAAUGAGCGUAACAUAUUUGGGCCAAUGAGAGGAGCAAUUUCCUGGUCUUUGUUGGGAAAAGUUUUUCUUUCAUUUUCUGAGAGCGCUUCAGAGGUAACCCAUUCUUUCUGCAUGUCCUCAAAAAAACGGGUCCCCUGGAUGGUGGGUAGCCAUCUUCCAAAUACAAGUCUAGCCGGGUUAAAAUAAAGAAGACAUCAAGAAAACAAACAUGCAUAGAGAUCUGAUCUUUGGUGACUUUUUUUUUUUUUUUUUUUGAGAUGUAGUCUGGCUCUGUCACCAGGCUGGAGUGUGGUGGCAGGAUCUCGGCUCACUGCAACCUCCGCCUCCCAGGUUCAAGCGAUUCUCCUGCCUCAGCCUCCCAAAUAGCAGGGAUUACAGGUGCGCGCCACCAUGCCCAACUAAUUUUUUAUUUUUUUAGUAGAGUCGUGGUUUCACCAUGUUGGCCAGGCUGGUCUGGAAUUCCUGACCUCAAGUGAUCUGCCCUCCUCAGGCUCCCAAAGGGCUGGGAUUACAGGCGUGAGCCACCGUGCCUGGCUUUGGUGACAUUUUUGAGGCUCUGAAUCAAGCAACUUCUGAAUUCAGGUCUAUCUUCACUGAUUAGACCAAUAGGAUUCGAAUUUUCUGUUGUCUGUAAUCUAGUGUGGUCUACACAGUACCACCCCAAUGACCAUUUUUUUAGUAGCAAAGACAUAAACGUCAGGUAGGAAGUCUGAUUAGAUCAUUUUUAAGGCCCCAUUCCCAUGUGUUUUAGUUCAUUUUCUCCUACUGCUAACAGAAUACCAUAGACUGAGUGAUUUAUAAAGAAGUUUAUUUGGCUCAUGGUUCUGGAGCCCGGUAAGUCCAAGAGCAUGGCACUGGCAUCUUUAGAGGGCCUUCUUGCCGUGUUAUCCCGUGGCAAGUGAGCACACACAAUAGAGAGUAAUCCAUUCAUGAGGGCUCUACCCUCUUAGAAGUUUCUCUUAAAGGUCUCACUUCUCAACACUUUUGCAUUGGGGGUUAAGUUGUCAACACAUGAACUUUGGGAGACACAUUGAAACCAUAGCACUGUGAUAAGAUUCUAUGACUCCACAGUAAAACUGGAAAGAAAUCUUGCAGAAGGAGAAGGUAUGUGAUCCCACAUGUUGGAUUCAUGCUGUUUUCAAGAUUCUCUUCUCAUCCUGCUCACACAACUAGUGCAGAGGAAGAAUAUCUGUCUGCCCAAACCUUCAGUCAUAGGGGCUCCCUCAUUACUUAGGGACUGAUUGGUGAAGUUUUUCAUAUCUAUUAUGGCCCGUAUAGUUUUACUUUAUAAUUUAUUUUCCUUAUUAGAUUGUGAACCCCUUGAGGGUUCGGACUGACAUGCAUCUGUCAGUACCAUGCACCUAACGUAGUGCCAAGAGCAUAGUAGACCCAAAAAGGAGGAGCUGGAAUUAAAGCUAUCAUUCAUUUGACAUUAUAACAUGAAGUUAUUUUUCAUAAUAUAGCCUUUGCUUGUGUCAUUUUUAAUAAGAGAAAAUGAUUCCCACCAGUGAAUCUCCUAUAAUAGCUCUGACUUAUAUAGAAGACAAAAAGAAUAUAAAAAGUGGAGUUUUGUAUCACUUAUAACUCAUUUCUGGGCCUUUGCUGACACAUCUAGAUAGGGCCAGAAGCCUUUAUUGAAAAGCUCAGAGAGAAACAACUAAGUAAUACAAAUUCAGUGUUAAUUAAUAGUACUAUUUGUGUAGUAUAAGUUAAUCCCUAUCGAUAAGUUAAUAUUGAAAAGUAUUUAAUGUGCAUUUCUCACAUGCCGGGCAUGGUGUUAAAUGUUUCAGGACAGAAAGUCUAAAACCCAUACUGCCCUCAAGAAAGUUAUAAUCUAAUAGAUUUUUUUUUUUGAGACAGAGUCUCACUCUAUUGCUCAGAUUAAAGUGCUGUGGCACAAUCUCAGCUCACUGCACGUUUGCCUCCUGGGAUUAGGUGAUCCUCCCACCUCAGCCUCUGAAAUACCUGAGACUACAGGUGCAUGCCACCACGCCUGGCUAAUUUUUAAAUUUUUCUUCAUAGAGACAAGGUAUCACUAUAUAGCCCAGGCUGGUCUCAAACUCCUGUGCUCAAGUGCUCCUCUCACCUCAAGCCUCCCAAAGUGCUGGGAUUAUAGGCAUGAGCCACGAUGCCCAGCAAUCUAAUAGAGCUUAGUUCACUGUCCAUUCACUGUAAUCCACUACUGGACAGACACAGGAAUUCUGUCAACAUGGUUUCAGCCUCCCCACACACACAACACACACACUUCAUCCUUGAACACACAUGCAUAUUUUAUGGGACACCAGAGUUGCCCAGAGAAACCUUUAUAGUCAAAAGGAAAAGUAGCUAAAGCAAUGGGCUUUUUGCUUCCUUGGCAGAUUGACUUAACCUUGGACCCUUUUUAGAAGACAAGUAUUCUAGGAAGCUAAGAGGAGAAGGAGAGAGAGAAGAGAAUCAAGUCAGGUGUUUAGCGGGGGUAGUAAAUUACUCUCCGGAUGAAGUGACUGGCCUCCUAACGUUAUCCACUAAGAUCCGAGGUUGACGGCUAGUAGACCGUAUGGUAGCUUUCUGCUCUAUAGGAGAAUAACUGGCCAGGUGCAGUGGCUUAUGCCCAUAAUCCCAGCACUUUGGGAGGCUGAGGCUGGCGGAUUGCUUGAGCCCAGGAGUUUCAGACCAGCCUGGGCAAUAUGGAGAAACCCUGUCUCUACAAAAAAUACAAAAAAUAGCUGGGCAUGGUCGCAUGCGCCUGUAGUCUCAGUUACUUGGGAGGCUGAGGCAGGAGGAUUGCUUGAGCCCGGGAGGCGGAGGCUGCAGUGAGCCAAGAUUGCACCAUUGCGCUCCAGCCUGGGCAAUGGGAAUGAAACUGUCUCAGAAAAGAGAAAAGGAGAAUAACUGUCCCCUUGUGACUAACAGGGAUAAUUUAUGUAACAGUGAGUUUAAUAAGUAUUAUCCUCAGUUCAUGGCACUACCAUCAUUGAUGAACUAAAAGCCAAGACUUUUUACUCUCUCAUGAGCCAAAUUCUACUAAUGACCAACCAUCUACUCUCCGCAUUCUUUUCCACCAGCCAGCAAGAACCUCCCACUGUUGUGGUAUUUCCUGGUAGAGAUUUCGUCUUUUCCCUCUGAAUGUUGAUAGAUAAAAAUAGUUCUCUACUCCUUGCCAAUAUCAUUUUUAUCCACUAUUUAAGACACUUAGAUGGCUUAUAUGAAUGCUAUAUUCAGAUAUGAGGACAUGCCCCCCCCAAUUGUCACUCAAUAUCUUUUACACUCAGUAUCUUUUUCCCCUUUAGAAUCUCCUUUCAUAUUUUAUAAAAACACACAUUUACACCAAAAUCGAGACAAAUUCAGAGGCCAGGAAAGGAAAAAAACUGCUAAACAAUCUAGAGCAUCAAACUUGGAGAGAUAUUUCCAUUUUUUUAACUUAGUAGAGUUAAUCAGAAAAAAUGAAUUAAUAACCUUUUUCCAUAUUUCUGUGUGUAUCUUGGCACAGUGCCUAGCAAGUAGUAAAUUGCUCAAAAAACAUGUGUUGAGAAAUGAAUUGUUAUUCACUUCUAGGUAGAGAUGGCAGUUGAACACAUGCUCCAAAUUUUGUUCCUUCCCAAAACCACACUAAGACAUCAGUAAUGAAAUUUUCAAAACAAUUUUUUUUUCAGACAGGAUUUUGCUCUGUCGCUCAGGCUAGAGUACAGUAGUGCAGUCACGGCUCACUGCAGCCUCGACCUUCUGGGCUCAAGGAAUCCUCCAACCUCAGCCUCCUGAGUAGCUAGCAUCACAGGCGCACACCACCAUACCCAGCUAAUUUUUGUAUUUUUUUGUAGAGACAGAGUUUCACCAUGUUGCCCAGGCUGGUCUCAAACUCCUGGGCUCAGGUGAUCUGCCUGCCUCAGCCUCCCUAAGUGCUGGAAUUACAGGCGUGAGCCACUGCACCUGGUCCCCCAAAUGUUUUGUUUGUUUUUUGUUUUUUGUUUUAGACAGUGUCACGCUCUGUUGCAGGCUGAAGUGCAACGGCGCAAUCUCGGCUCACUGCAACCUCCACCCACCAAGUUCAAGCGAUUAUCAUGUCCCAGCCUCCUGAAUAGCUGGGAUUAUAGGCGCCCGCCACCACGCCCGUCUAAUUUUUUGUAUUUUUAAUAGAGACGGGGUUUUGCCAUGUUGUCCAGGUUGGUCACGAACUCCUGACCUCAGGUGAUCUGCCCACCUCGGCUUCCCAAAAUGCUGGGAUUACCGGUGUGAGCCACUGCGCCUGGCCAUAUUGGGUACCUUUUUAAGGAAGGAGUGCCGGACUCAUGUGCUUGUAAUGGCAUGAUGGAAGUCAGCUUACAUAUUUAGAGAUUUGUGUAGGCUACUCCCACAGAUUAAGGAUUAAUUAUUUCCAAAAUAGAUGCUCUAAGAAAAAAAUCAAAAAGCAAAGAAUACUUACCACAUCAAAGCACCUGAAAAAAUCCUCCCUUUUGCCAGUAAAGUAAAACUUGUACAGACUAAAAACUUAAGUAUUUGGUGACUUGCCAGUCAUAUGAUGAGAAUAGGGAAAGGAUAGCUGUUGUUAAAAGAAUUGUUGGAUGCAGUGGCUUAUGCCUGUGAUUCCAGCACUUUGGGAGGCCGAGGUGGGUGAAUGGCUUGGGCCCAGGAGUUCAAGACCAGCCUGAGAAACAGGGAAACCCUGUCUCUACAAAAAAUUUUAAAAUUAGCUGGGCAUGAUGGCAGAUGCCUGUAGUCCCAGCUACUCAGGAGACUGAGGCAGGAGAAUCGCUUGAGCAUGUCCUUUAAUACCACAAAAAAAGUCCUUUAAUGUAGUAUGGUUGUUUAACAUAGUGGCCCACACCUGUAAUCCCAGUACUUUGGGAGGCCAAGGGGAGGAUUGCUUGAGCCCACGAGUUUGAAACCAGCCUGGGCAACAUGGCAAGACCCCAUCUCUACAAAAAAUUUUUAAAAUUUAGCUGGAUAUGGUAGCAUGCACCUGUGGUUGCAGGUAUCUGGGAGGCUGAGGCGAGAGGAUUGUUGGAGCCCAGGAGGCUGAAUCUGCAGUGAGCUGUGUUUGCACUACUGCAGUCUGCCCUGGGUGACAGAGUGAGACUUUGUCUCAAAAAAAAAAAAAAGUUGUUUAAAAAGAUGAUGGUCAUUCAUCAUCUUGGACUAUGACAAAUAUCCACUACCAUUCUUUUGCAGGUUUGGUUGUAAAGGUGGUCAGUAGAAAGUUAUGAAUGAUGAUUUAAUUUAAUUUUUCAAAAGCUUGAGUCCUUAUAAAUUCAGCUGCUAUUUUGUAGACUCCUGACUGCCUCUGCCAUUAAUUUAUUCUUUCAGUUUUUCAUCAAUUGAAUAAAUAUAUAUUAAGUACAUACUUUGUGCCAGAACUGUCUUCUAUGCUUGGACUAUACUAAUGAAAAACUAGAAAAAAAAAUCCUGUCUCCAUGGAGCUUACAUUCUAAUGGGUUGUCUUCAGUCCCUGUUGGUACUCAACAUCAGUUUUCAAACUUUUAAAUUCCAAACAAGGACAGGUUAAAUGGGUAGAGCAGAAUAAGAAAUCUAGUCUUUUUUCAGAUUUAGAAUAAGUUCUGUUUGUUGGCUUAGUUCCUAGGCACCUGGCUUUUCUUUCCUUUUCUUUUUUUUUUUUGACACAGAAUCCCACUCUGUCACCCAGGCUGGAGUGCAGUGGUGCAGUCUCGGCUCACUGCAACCUCUGACUCCCAGGUUCAAGCAAUUCUCUUGCCUCAGCCUCCUAAGCAGCUGGGAUUACAGGCGCCUACCACCAAGCCUGGCUAAUUUUUUUGUAUUUUUAGUAGAGAUGCGGUUGUUGGCCAGGCUGGUCUUGAACUCCUGACCUCAGGUGAUCCGCCCACCUCAGCCGCCCAAAGUGCUGGGAUUACCAGUGUGAGCCACCUCACCGGGUCUGCACCUGCCUUUUCAAAUACGUGGCAGGGAUGCAUUCCAAAAAGUAUUUAGUGUUUGGAAUGCUUCUCUCAUUCUAGUGAGUAACGUGAGAGCUAGCUAUUAGAAAUGUGCAUAUUGGAAGGUGGGCGUGGUGGUGCACAUUUCUUGUCCCAGCUAUGCUGAAGGCUGAGGUGGGAGGAUUGCUUGAGCCCAGGAAUUGGAGGCUGUAGUGUGCUGUGACUGCACUUAUGAUAGCCACUGCACUCCAACCUGGGUGACAGAGCGAGACUCCGUCUCAAAAAAAAAAAAAAAGAAUCUUUGAAAGUCUCGUUCCAUUGCCCGCUUGCUUCCAAUGUUGUUGUAAAACAAUGGAUUCCAUUUUUUACUUUCAGUCCUUUCUAUUUGUCUUCUUUUGUGUCCUGUCUGGAAGCUUAAAGGUCUUCUCUUUGUCUGCUGUGUAUUCAGAUUUCCUGAUCACAGACUUUGGUGUAGAUCUAUUUUUAUCCAUUGUGGUGUCCACUUGAUGAAUUCAUUCAAUUUGGUAAUUUAUACUUCAAUUCAGAGAAUUUUUCUUAGAUUAUUUCAUUUACUUUUUUUUUUUCUGAGCUCUUACUAUUUGAAUUCUGAACUUCUUGAACUGGUCUUCUCUGUCUUUCUGCUUAAAUUUCCUUAAUUUUCUUUUCUAAUCUUUUUUUUUUCAUUUCUACUUUUCUAUUUUCUUUUCUUUUGCUUUUUCUUUAUUUUUAUUUUUAUUUUUUUAAGUAGAUACAGGAUUUCACUGGUUUUGCCCAGGCUGGUCCCAAACUCCUGAGCUCAGGAAAUCCAUCCACC